CUGUGAUAGGCGGGGAGUUAGCGGUGCCCUGUAUCUGCAAUCCGCUAUAGCAGAGCCGAACGCUUUUCUCGGUGUCGUGUGUGGAAGGCCGCACGCGGAAAGGGAUGUUGAUAACAAGGUCUUAUGCAACGCGCGUCCGCGAACCGUGUCAGGGCAGGGAUGCAGCAGCACUAAACGGUGCCGUGCGUGUGCCAUAAGGUAGCUUUGUCGGAGUUACCUACCGCGUUACCGCUUCGGUAUACGGCAACAAAAAAAG
rnacentral:SRP_RNA from 1 species